GGAGGGAUGGCAGAGCGGACGAUUGCGACGGCCUUGAAAGCCGUUGAGCCCACGGGCUCCGGGGGUUCGAAUCCCCCUCCCUCCGCCA
rnacentral:tRNA from 1 species